rnacentral:rRNA from 1 species
UACUUUCAGUCGUGAGGAAGGUGUUAGGGUUAAUAACCUUAGCAAUUGACGUUAGCGACAGAAGAAGCACCGGCUAACUCCGUGCCAGCAGCCGCGGUAAUACGGAGGGUGCGAGCGUUAAUCGGAAUUACUGGGCGUAAAGGGCACGCAGGCGGUUAAUUAAGUUGGAUGUGAAAUCCCCGGGCUUAACCUGGGAAUGGCAUUCAAGACUGGUUAGCUAGAGUCUUGUAGAGGGGGGUAGAAUUCCAUGUGUAGCGGUGAAAUGCGUAGAGAUGUGGAGGAAUACCGGUGGCGAAGGCGGCCCCCUGGACAAAGACUGACGCUCAUGUGCGAAAGCGUGGGGAGCAAACAGGAUUAGAUACCCUGGUAGUCCACGUUGUAAACGAUGUCGAUUUGGAGGUUGUGGUCAGGAACUGUGGCCUCCGGAGCUAACGCGUUAAAUCGACCGCCUGGGGAGUACGGCCGCAAGGUUAAAACUCAAAUGAAUUGACGGGGGCCCGCACAAGCGGUGGAGCAUGUGGUUUAAUUCGAUGCAACGCGAAGAACCUUACCUACUCUUGACAUCCAGNGAAGCUUUUAGAGAUAGAGGCGUGCCUUCGGGAACUUUGAGACAGGUGCUGCAUGGCUGUCGUCAGCUCGUGUUGUGAAAUGUUGGGUUAAGUCCCGCAACGAGCGCAACCCUUAUCCUUUGUUGCCAGCGAUUAGGUCGGGAACUCAAAGGAGACUGCCGGUGAUAAACCGGAGGAAGGUGGGGAUGACGUCAAGUCAUCAUGGCC